UGGAGAAGAGGUUCUAAAGCAGUUGGUGGUGGAAAGGAGGAGUCCCCGGGUCUGUUCCAUCCAUACACUGUUGAAGCAAGACACAGAUCUGCGGGACUGGCG